AUUGAACGCUGGCGGAAUGCUUUACACAUGCAAGUCGAACGGCAGCACGGGGCAACCUGGUGGCGAGUGGCGAACGGGUGAGUAAUACAUCGGAACGUGCCCAAUCGUGGGGGAUAACGUAGCGAAAGUUACGCUAAUACCGCAUACGAUCUACGGAUGAAAGCGGGGGAGUCGCAAGACCUCGCGCGAAUGGAGCGGCCGAUGUCAGAUUAGGUAGUUGGUGGGGUAAAGGCUCACCAAGCCAACGAUCUGUAGCUGGUCUGAGAGGACGACCAGCCACACUGGAACUGAGACACGGUCCAGACUCCUACGGGAGGCAGCAGUGGGGAAUUUUGGACAAUGGGCGCAAGCCUGAACCAGCCAUGCCGCGUGAAGGAUGAAGGCCCUCUGGGUUGUAAACUUCUUUUAUAGGGGACGAAAAAGGGAAUUACCUUCCCACUUGACGGUACCCUAGGAAUAAGCACCGGCUAACUCC
rnacentral:rRNA from 1 species